rnacentral:rRNA from 1 species
UGCCAGAGGUCACUGCUAUCGGGGUUCGAUUAAGCCAUGCGAGUCGAGAGGGUUCGGCCCUCGGCGUACUGCUCAGUAACACGUGGAUAGCCUGCCCUAAGGAAGGGGAUACCCCCGGGAAACUGGGUAUAAUACCCUAUAGAUUACAGAUGCUGGAAUGCCCUGUAAUCGAAAGUUCCGACGCCUUAGGAUGGAUCUGCGGCCGAUUAGGUUGUUGUCGGGGUAAUGGCCCAACAAGCCAGUGAUCGGUACGGGUUGUGGGAGCAAGAGCCCGGAGUUGGAUUCUGAGACACGAAUCCAGGCCCUACGGGGCGCAGCAGGCGCGAAAACUUUACAAUGCGGGCAACCGUGAUAAGGGAACCUCGAGUGCCUGUAUAUGCAGGCUGUCCAGGUGUCUAAAACACACCUGAAGAAAGGGCCGGGCAAGACCGGUGCCAGCCGCCGCGGUAAUACCGGCGGCUCGAGUGGUGGCCACUUUUAUUGGGCUUAAAGCGUUCGUAGCUGGGUCGUUAAGUCUCUUGGGAAAUCCGGCAGCUCAACUGUCGGGCGUCUAAGAGAUACUGGCGAUCUUGGAACCGGGAGAGGUGAGGGGUACUUCGGGGGUAGGAGUGAAAUCCUGUAAUCCUCGAGGGACCACCUGUGGCGAAGGCGCCUCACCAGAACGGCUUCGACAGUGAGGGACGAAAGCUGGGGGAGCAAACCGGAUUAGAUACCCGGGUAGUCCCAGCCGUAAACGAUGUGCGUUAGGUGUAUCAACGACCACGAGUCGUUGAGGUGCCGAAGGGAAACCGUGAAACGUACCGCCUGGGAAGUACGGUCGCAAGGCUGAAACUUAA